UCUGGGCUGACAGUUGGGUGGCCGUUGAGGCUCACUGUGGGUGGGUGAGUGCGUGCGGGAGGCUGGCCGGGCGGGAGCGGCGCGCUAAGCUCUUGGCCAGUAGCCGGAGCGCGCGCAGCCCGGGGAGCAGCGGCGUGAGCCGGGCCGAAAGAGAGGGCAGCAGCCUCUUCCAUCUCUGAUUUACAAUGAGUGCCAAAGCUGCUAUCAACAAAGAAAUUUUUGCUCCACAUGAUGAAAGGAUGCUGGGAGCUGUCCAAGUGAAAAGGAGAACAAAGAAAAAGAUCCCUUUCCUAGCAACUGGGGGCCAGGGUGAAUAUUUAACCUAUAUCUGCUUGUCAGUGACGAACAAGAAACCUUCUCAGGCAUCUAUUACAAAAGUCAAACAGUUUGAAGGCACCACAUCAUUUGUAAGGAGAUCGCAUUGGAUGCUUGAGCAGCUUAGUCAGGUCAAUGGAAUAGACUCUAAUCGGGAUUGUCCAGAAUUUGAUUUACUAUUUGAAAAUGCUUUUGACCAAUGGGUAGCAAGCACAGCCUCUGAAAAAUCCACAUUCUUUCAGAUUCUUCACCACACUUGCCAGCGCUACCUUACAGAUAAGAAACCAGAAUUUAUUAACUGCCAGUCCAAAAUUAUGGGAGGAAACAGCAUACUCCAUUCAGCAGCAGACAGUGUGACCAGUGCAGUACAGAAGGCAAGUCAAGCUUUGAAUGAGCGUGGCGAAAGGUUAGGUCGGGCAGAAGAAAAGACAGAAGAUAUGAAGAACAGUGCCCAGCAGUUUGCAGAAACUGCACACAAGUGGCUGUAGUUGAACUGGUUCUCUUAAGCAGGGCAUCUAAUCUACCACUGCUAAACGUUUGAUACUGAAGAUACGUCUCCAUCAUGCAAAGUAUACUAUGUUCUGCAUACUUCCGUCUCUGUUAGUCAUAUGAUUGCCAGUAACAUGCUCGCCAUGAAGCACAAAUGAUGAGAUACUGCCUAACAUAGCAAUCUUCCCAGGAGGAACUGAAAAACUAGAUUGAGCAAUUUUUACUGGAGAUCCAAACUUUCACCUGCUUUAUCUUUCCAAUUCAGUGAAGAUCAGUCAUUCAGUUAACAUACAGGAAAAUGUUGCAUUCCUACCCAUUUAUGGUAAUUUUGCUAAGCAAUGCUACUGUAUCACCAACCUUUAUUUUGUAUUUAAGUUGUUGAAGGUAUUUUUGAAAAUAUGUAAACUGGACCAAAUAAGAAACUUAUCAAGAUUAAGCUGGCACCAUCUUAUUUUUUUUGUGGUGUCAUACAGGAAGAAGUAUUAAAUUGGCUAUGAGUGAUAUUACUGUACAGAAUAAAAUCCAUAUAAUGGUUAUAUAUUUCCCCCUUUUGUACAAUGCUAGUGGACUUUGAAUAUUGGAUAUAUGCAUAGCAGAUCAUAAUCCUGUAGUGGAACGCAGACAGAUUUGUUAUGUGAAACGGCACGCCUUAUAAUUUCUGCUUUUCAGUAGAAACUUUCGCAUGUGCCAUCACCAGCAUUCAGAAGUGCAAAUUUGACUUACAAAUGUGGCCCUGCUAUUCAUGCUGCAUUUGAAAAUAUCCCUAUUGUACUUUCCAGAUCAGUUUGGAUUGUAUAAUAUAACAUAAAGAAUGUGAAUUUGAGAUUUUAAGAUGUAAGAAAAAUCUGAUUUUACACACACAAUGUUUGUGCCUCAUUAACACAGUAAAGAAUUUAACAAUCUUUGCAUGGUUUCUUUUCAACUAUUAUUUUUUGUAUCGGGCUUAGAUAAAGGAAAGUCUGAAAACAAGCUUUCCAAAUUACUCAGUUUUUCAUAAAUUUUAUACAGAAAACAUGUUUAACAUGAAAUUAGCUUGGAAAAAUACCUUUCCAUUGCAGAUCUGUUAACAUAAUUAUUUUUGAUCUAUUGUUUUCCUUAACAGGCAGCUGUUUUCCUCAUAUUCCUUCAGAAAUUCUUAAGUUAUUUAUUCAUAGGAUUAAAAUGUUACGCCAGUACAAGAAUUUAUACUUGAUUUUACAUAGAAUACACAAAAUAUAAGCUAAGGUUUGUACCUUCAGCUUUUAGUACAUUGGUUCUUAGCUGCAUGCAUCUUCACAAUCUUCUUUUCUCCUCUUACUAAUCAACCAGCCAGCCAGUGUAUUCUGCUUAUACUGUCAUUUUCAUUGUUAAUGCAGAAUAAGAUUUUGCAUUAUUAAUGACAUUUUAAAGAGCUUAGUAUCUAAUAAUAAAGCAGUACAUGGAGGUAGGGAAGGAGAAAGUGAAAACUAAGAAGAAAGUAAUAGCUCUUGAAAAUAUCAAUAUUACAAAAAGGAGACUUUAUUUGGGAAGAAAUUCUAAGUCAACCUACUGAAGUCAUCUAGUUAAAUGUAUAGUUUGUACAUGUAGUUCAUUUAAAAUAUAUAUUUUUAAUUUUGCUAUUUUGUACAAAAAAAUUAAUUGCAAAAUGGAAGAUGCUUAAAGUAGGGAGCAUCAUUAUCAUUUCUGUAGGAUCACAUCAAGAAGAACCCUGUCACAUCUGAAGCUGACAGCUGGGAAAGAAUUUGGCCAGUCAUAAGCUGCAAAUGAGAACAAGGC